AAAAAGUCUAACUAGUAAAAUGUUUACACGUUAUGUGAAAACUAGUACAAGUAUAUGAAUAAAUAAAAAGAGACUUACUCAUGUUUAUGAUCUCUGCUGAAUAAAGUGCUUCAUUCUUUUUUUCAGAGGAAAUCCAAAUCUCUAAUCCUCAACCACAUCACAUCUUUUUGGGGUGAAUUAUGUCUUAUUCCUCUCAUCGCGAAGCAAACAGUAAAAUAAAAAAAACUUGAAGAACAAUCUCGCUGCGUUGUCUUCUGUUGUGUGGGCGUAUUCAAGCCGCGCGCUUCAGUGAAACAUUUGAAUCUCAAAAGCGCGUUCAGCGCGGGGGCGUGGUCGCAUUAGAAUAUAAUGAAGGGAGACGUGAAAAACGGACAUCGCGUUGUUUUCAUAUGGAUUACUUUAUCACAGAAUAUUUGUUUUCGGCAGCACUUGUUUAGUUUAAAAGUAGACAUGUCAGGCUUUCUAUAGAUAUCUCUCUCAUGUCUCUGUGUUGAGUAUUCACGGAGUUACAGUUCAUUUUAAUGACGCGUUUGUUAAAGAAGAUCAGCGCAGACAAAGGCUGCAGACAGCACUCCUUGUUUGUUAUCUUUAUUUUAUAAGUGCACAAAGUUUUGUUGUUAUUAUGUCUGUAUACAAAAAAAAGUAGACCCUUUACAGAUUCGAUUGAUGUAUUGCUCUUAUCUGUACGAUCAAAACUGAAAGUGUAAUUUAAGUUCUUUUCGGGGUUAUCAGGAGAAAAUACCCCAAAACGCGUAUACGCGUUAAUCGACUUCAGAGGGUUAAUGCCCAAUAAUCCGUACAGUUCGCGUAACGUACGUGACAUAAACGCCGUGCCCUGAUCGGUGAGGAUCUCUUUCGGAAUCCCCACCCGGGAGAUAAGACGAAACAGGACGUCCGCAACACUCUUAGCGGAAAUGUUGCAGAGGGCCACUGCUUCAGGAUAUCGUGUUGCAUAGUCAACUAUGACUAAUGCAAAGCGAUGUCCCCGUGCAGAUCGCUCUAAUGGCCCGAUGAGGUCCAUACCAAUUCUCUCGAAGGGGACCUGCAUUAAGGGAAGGGGGCGCAAAGGCACUUUUGGGGCGGCCGGUGGAUUCACCAACUGACAUUCAGGACAAGACACGCACCACCUGCGCACGUUGUCGUGAAUGCCCAGCCAAAAGAAACGGGUCAUGGGGCGAUUCAGUGUUGCUGCCUGUCCCAAAUGGCCCACCAUAGGAUUAGAAUGAGCCGCAUGGAAAAGCAUUUCCCUGCGGCCCUUCGGAAUCAACAACUGGGUUGUAUUCACUUUUGUACGAGCAUCUUGGAUCACUCGAUACAACCGAUCUCUUAAAAUGGCAAAAUACGGAUAGGUGAGCGGGUGGGCAGGUUGGAGAGGCUGGCCAUCGAUGGAGCGGACCUGUUGGAAAGCGUGUUUUAAUGUCUCAUCCUGAGACUGCUCCAGAGGAAAGUCGUCACGCUCCGAGAGAAUAAGUCUCCGGAUUUCGCUUGGUUCCCCUGAAGCAGAACCCCGCGGUCCUGGCUCAGUUUCUCCCACCUGCACACACGCGGCCUCCUUCCGUGCCUUCUUUCCCCAAGAGGCAUCCGCACAUAACCACCCCAAUAAAACAGUAAACGUGGGCCAAUUUGUUCCCAAAAUUAUUGGAUGCCGGAGGUGGGGACUAACCGCCACCCUCCACACUAUGCUUUUGUCCCCGGAAUUGAAUAAUAAUCGGGACCACCGGGUACUCCACCACAUCCCCGUGUACGCACCGCACCUUAACCACGUGGCUUGUAUCCAAUGCCCCCGGUUGAAUCAGGCUUUGAUGGAUUGAGGUUUGGUUACAUCCUGAAUCCACCAAGGCCGGAUAUGUACCCCCCUUGAUACUCACAGGUAUUUGGUACUCUCCUGCCUGACCGGGGGUGGCCUGUGGGACGUCCGGGACCCGGAUCAUCGUCCCCACCCCCAUCACUGGACACCUGUCCACGAAAUGCUCCGGGUCCCCACAACGCCAACAGGCCAGCCCAGACCUCCCCGCCGCCCCAGUGGCAGGGAGUGGAUUGGAGAAUUGGCGUGGAGAGAGCGGGGAAACAGAAGUGCUGUCCCCUCCGGCAGCCAUCAGCCCCACCCACCUGGGCGGGGCCCUUGGAUUCCCAUAAUGUCCUUGGUCAAUCCCCCCGGGGCGGGACACGAGGAGGGCCGGCUGGACGGGACCUAGGGAGAGGGACAGGUCGAGAGAGAGAUGGGGAGGAGAGAGAGGGAGAGAGAGAGAGAGAUGUUAAGGGUUCGCCGACCCCUGGGCACGCCACCAUGUGGUCCUCUGCCAGAUGGACAGCCGAGUCCAGUGUUUUUUUCGGUAGCUGAGCGAUGAAUUGCUCCAGCACCACGAGGUCGAUGAGGUGUUCCACGUCACUUCCCUCGGCCAGUAGCCACUUGUGGCAGGAGUCCCGGAGCUGCUGGGCCAUCGCAAAUGGCCGACCAGAUUCCCCCAGGUCCAGGGAACGGAACCGCUGGCGAUGCUGCUCUGGGGUCCGGCCGACCCGCUGAAUGAUGGCCCUUUUCAGGUCGUCGAAGACCAGGAGGUUCACCACCAGUAGCUGUUGUGCGGCCACCUGGGACUCUGCAUGGCGGCGGCACUCCUUCUUCCUUUCCCGGGUUUCGGCACCAGUGUAGUAAGUUUGUGUGAGGAAAGGAAGAGGACAAAGGGGUCGGCUGGACUGCUGAAGUAUUUUAAUUCAAGUCACAAAAAUAAACUUUACACCAACGGUGACUUACUCUGACAUCAACACAGACACAAUCGCAUAACACUUCCAGGUGACUUCUUCCGGUUCUGGGGUACGUCAGCAGUCCGUCUCUCUCUCCACUGCUUCUGUCUCUCCUGGCAUUUUAUACUCUCUCCACGCCAAUUACUGAAACAAGAGACAGGUGUUGCUCGUCUCUGCCCAAACCACUCACUUACCGUUCGUCUCCUGAUU
ensembl:lncRNA